AUGUGCUCCAGGUGCUCCGUGAUGAUCUUCCUGCAGCACUUCCUGGUGUGGUGGAAGUGCUGCAGUCCAUGGCUCCAUAACCAUGCAAACCAAGGUGGCUACCCUCUUGUGUCCCAGUGGAGGUAUUGUCCCUUUCCCGGGCCUUCCAUCCUCCAGGCAUCCCUGCUGGGCAGAAGCCCAAGCCUUCCACCACACAGAUUAUUUUUGUAAGCUGACAAUGGGAAGAUCUUAUUUGAAAAGUUUUAUAUGUUUAUUAUUCCUGAAGAAACUUUUACAUAUUGAUUACUAAGUUUUUCAUUUGUAAUAUAUGAAGAUGCAGUUCCGAUUCAUAUACCACAAUGCUCUCAGUGUACAAUUACUGAAUGUGUGUGGAAAAAUGAAUUGCUAUUUUAGCACCACUUGUUACCUUUCCUCAUUUGUGCUAUGCAUUUACUACAUUUUCUGUUUUUAACAAAUCUACUGUAGAUGACCCUUGAAAGUUUGCCAGAAAUGGAAUAGCAGUGAGAACACAAAGGAAAUCUUAGAGAAACAAUAGAAACUUUGACUGUCCUGCCUUGAAUCAAAAACACCAAGAUCAUAGUUAAGAUCUGCUGGAGUGACCUCACCUCCAGAAUAAACUCAGAAAAUGUCGGAUGUGCAAAUGACACACACUCUUAAUGUCUUCUUACACCAGAAAAUGGGACAUUCAUUAAAGCAGCCAAAAAUAGGACAGUUGUGAUUACUGAUGAGCAAAACUGCAGAGUUUUGUUUUGCACACAAUUUUAUAAAAUUGUCUCCGAAAUUUACUUUCCACAGGAUUUUCUCAUUUGCAAAAUGAAAAACUCACUAAUGAGAUUUUAUGAGGCUUUUCAAUAUCUUAUUAUAAUAUUAUUGUCUUAGGGUUAUUCUGAAGGCCAAACCACUUUUACUUUCCUUGGCCUUCCCCCUUGUGGUUCCACGCAAUGCCACCGCACUGCUUGCUUGCACAUCCUUUCCGACAGUCCUGUCUGGCACCACUCAUUUCUGUGCCCAGUCCCCCAACCCCAUAAGCCUAUUGCUGGCUGCCACAUUCCCAUCCUGAUAGAUUUUAGCAGUGGCUCUCUUGCCUUGCUCUGCACCAUAACAAACUUUUCCAUACUUUUGCACAUAAAGGAGAGGGUUGAAGAUGAAACAGUUUGUUUCACAAUUUUGUUUUUGUUUGUGAAGCAAAACUACAUUUCCUUGCUAAUUUUAUUUUUUCAAAAUUGUUUCACUCAUCGCUAGUUGUGAUAUUAACUUGAAAUGAUGGGAUCUGAUUUACAAUCAGUUGCAACAAAAAAACUUUAAAAAAACACACAGUGCCAUAACACGAGAUUCUUAUCUUUUCAGUACAAUCUGCUCUCAUCUUCAUGAACAGGGAGACCAUAAAAACUCGUAGGCUUGAGCUCUCCCUGACUGAUGUAAUGCAAAGUUCUAGAGAGCAGGAGCAAUGACCUCUGACUUUACAAGAUGGCCAGUGCGAUCCGAGAUCCCAGUGUUUUCAGGACAGAGGCACACCUCGAGUGUAGCCUUGUACAGCAAAACUCCCUCAAGAGUUGGUAUGGCCCGAUUUUAGAGUUACAGAACUCUAUAAAAAUACACAAUUUUCAUAUUUUCAUACAUUUGUACAUCAUAUAACAUUUAAUCUCAAUUCUUGGAAAAAAAAAUGUAAUUUCCCUGUUUUGAUUUUGUUGAUCUUUGGCAGUUCAAGUCAUUGGUGGAGAGAAUACUUUUGGUGCCAGACAAGAAUUCUUAAGAAGACUUAAUAAGAUGAAGAGUGACCAUCAUCAGCCUUUUUUCAAUACAAAAAGUAAGCUGGUGCUGCUCUUCUGUAGUAUCGUAUCUCGAUUAGGAAAGGAUAUCAGCCAUGCACUUCGACAAGUUUCAGCUGGUCCAAAAAUUAUUCUGAUUAUCAUGCAUCAUACUCCUGAUCCUGAUCACAUAUUGGCAGACAGCAGUAAAUUUGUGGAAGAGAAAGAUGUAUUAUUGACAGUGGACUGCCGUUUCCAUGAGCAUUAUGGCUUACAUAAUUCCUCUUUAAAUCAAGAAGCACUAAAAAAGGUUUUCAAUGUUAUACGUAAAAACUAAAAAAUCAAAAACAAUCUUCUCCAUGUACAUUAUGCCACGAGGAAGACUGGCACCCCAUCCAGAGUUGGUACCUGUUAUAUGCUUAGUACUUCAAGGAAUGGCUCCAUCCUCCUGUAACCUUGAAUUUUAAAAUGCAUGUGUAUGAUAUGUUGUAGACUAUAUUACUGCCUAGCUCGUUAUAGCUUACACCAUUUUAAAGGUGUUCUUUACAUUACAUUUAAGUAAUACAGAUAGAAGGUUUAUCAUUAAUGCUGGUGCUACUUUAUGCAAUUCCUGAAAGGGCUAUCUGGUUUGGAGAGAUAAAAAAAUUUAAUGAAGUUUGUCUUUUUGGUACAAAAUUCAUCUACAGCCACUUACAUCAAAUUCUUAGCCACUGUAAGAAAGUAAACCAGCACAGAAAAAGAUUUAGGCCCCAGCCGUGACCGCGUAUAAUGUAAAGAAAACAAAAAAUGUCUUCUUAGAUGCAAGUCCAAUAUAAAAACUGAAUGAAGAUGGCUGUGUUUCUGGUCAUAUGGAAUCCAGGCAGAAAGUGGAGGGUUCAGGAGGUGGACAGCGGAAGUGACGUCGGCGGUGAAAUGGCAAUUACUACUCAGUUCUGCAGAAGAAGGAAAAUGGAAAGAGAACACAGAGCUGACAUAUGUGUUGGUGGGUAACUACCAUCAUCAGAGCCCUUAAGAUGACAGCAGCUCCCUGUACAAACUAAGCUGAGACUGGAGGCAUUUUCUUAUUUUUCUUUGUAGGUUUUUCCCUGUAUAUUCCAUUUUCCUCUCACAUCACAGCCUUGACCAAACUGUAAAUAGUGCAAGAGUAUGCCUAUGGUUGACCAGCACGCCCACUUUGUUGCCUGAUUCCUGUUUUCUGCCCAGUGCUCCCAGUACUCAGACCUCAUGUGAUUCUGACCUGGAUUAAGUGGAUUUGGUAAUGAAUGGAAUAAAAAUAGAAUAACUUUUCAAA